GGAUACGCGGCGGAUAAAUUUCCGAUAGCGAAUUACUUGACUCGAUGGAUGGAGGGGGGCCUCCAACUCAAGCACGAAAUCAAUGUUGAGUCCACAAUCAUCGAAAGGGGCACCACCAAGCGAGAUCGAGACCAGCACCUUGCAUAGGGUUCCAAACCCGCGCUUCUUAAAAUAUCCCAUAAAAAAAGGUAGGGGCUUCAAAGCACAAGCGGGAAACUUGACUUUGAGAAAGAAGGGUGGCACGCUAGCUGCAAUCCUUCUAAAGUGCUAACGCCUAUAGUAAGGGGCCCUUUUCUUGCUCGUUAGCGCUUUAGUUUGAGGCGCUAGCUUACUAAUAAUAUAGGGUUUUUUCAGCUUGAUCGGAAUCGAUUCUAUAAUUGAAUAUCAGACUCAAGUUGACCCCUAUCUAUCUUUUGUCCAAAAAACACGUCUUUAUCGCAUUUUUUGUCCUCUUGACGAGGUUCACUCUAUAUUUUCAAGGAAAAUAUAGAUCCUUGACAAUCUAGCUUAAGGAAAGCUAGAUUGCUCAGACGACUUC
rnacentral:lncRNA from 1 species